AGAGUUUGAUCCUGGCUCAGAUUGAACGCUGGCGGCAGGCCUAACACAUGCAAGUCGAACGGUAACAGGAAGCAGCUUGCUGCUUCGCUGACGAGUGGCGGACGGGUGAGUAAUGUCUGGGAAACUGCCUGAUGGAGGGGGAUAACUACUGGAAACGGUAGCUAAUACCGCAUAACGUCGCAAGACCAAAGAGGGGGACCUUCGGGCCUCUUGCCAUCGGAUGUGCCCAGAUGGGAUUAGCUAGUAGGUGGGGUAACGGCCCACCUAGGCGACGAUCCCUAGCUGGUCUGAGAGGAUGACCAGCCACACUGGAACUGAGACACGGUCCAGACUCCUACGGGAGGCAGCAGUGGGGAAUAUUGCACAAUGGGCGCAAGCCUGAUGCAGCCAUGCCGCGUGUAUGAAGAAGGCCUUCGGGUUGUAAAGUACUUUCAGCGGGGAGGAAGGGAGUAAAGUUAAU
rnacentral:rRNA from 1 species